rnacentral:rRNA from 1 species
UGCCCUACGGGAGGCAGCAGUCGGGAAUAUUGCGCAAUGGAGGAAACUCUGACGCAGUGACGCCGCGUAUAGGAAGAAGGUUUUCGGAUUGUAAACUAUUGUCGUUAGGGAAGAUAAAAGACAGUACCUGUAGAAUAAGCUCCGGCUAACUACGUGCCAGCAGCCGCGGUAAUACGUAGGGAGCAAGCGUUAUCCGGAUUUAUUGGGUGUAAAGGGUGCGUAGACGGGAAUGCAAGUUGGUUGUGAAAUCCCUCGGCUUAACUGAGGAACUGCAA